CAACUGCUGAGAUAAGGAGGUACCGAUAUCUCCAUGUGGAUCUCCCCUGUCAGAUGGUCCUCCUGAUGGCAUAGCUUAAAAUCAGUUAUUUAUACAUGAUAAAAAAUUAAAGUAAAUUAAAUAUAAAAAAUUAUACUACGUAAAAUCAAUCUAUCAUGACAGGAGAUGAUGUGCCUGCCUCAUCUCCGCAUGGGCCCUCCCGCGUGAUCAUUCUCCUGGUGCCAUGCUUGUAUCAAACAAUAUAUUAGAGACAAUAUAAUAUGGACAAAAAUUACAUCGAUACUAAAUGAUAUAUGAAAUAUAAGAUAUAUGAGUUUUUUUAAAAAAAUUACAUAUUAUUAUUCAAUGUCUGUAUCUUUAUCAGAAGGAUUAUCAAUAUCUUCAUCGUCAUAAUCCAUCAAUAUAUAAUCUUCCUCAUCAUUACUAAUGAAGUUGUCAUCAUUAUCGUCAUCAUCCUCCGACAUGUUCAGAUUUAAUUCACUG
rnacentral:lncRNA from 1 species